rnacentral:rRNA from 1 species
UACGUAGGCAGCGAGCGUUGUUCGGAGUUACUGGGCGUAAAGAGUGCGUAGGCGGUUUUCUAAGUUUGGUGUGAAAUCUCCCGGCUUAACUGUGAGGGUGCGCCGAAGACUGGAAGGCUUGAGUAUGGGAGAGGUAAGCGGAAUUCCUGGUGUAGCGGUGAAAUGCGUAGAUAUCAGGAGGAACACCGAUGGCGAAGGCAGCUCGCUGGGACGGUACUGACGCUGAGGCGCGAAAGCGUGGGGAGCGAACAGG